UAGGGAAUCUUCCACAAUGGACGCAAGUCUGAUGGAGCAACGCCGCGUGAGUGAAGAAGGUUUUCGGAUCGUAAAGCUCUGUUGUUGGUGAAGAAGGAUAGAGGUAGUAACUGGCCUUUAUUUGACGGUAAUCAACCAGAAAGUCACGGCUAACUACGUGCCAGCAGCCGCGGUAAUACGUAGGUGGCAAGCGUUGUCCGGAUUUAUUGGGCGUAAAGCGAGCGCAGGCGGAAGAAUAAGUCUGAUGUGAAAGCCCUCGGCUUAACCGAGGAAUUGCAUCGGAAACUGUUUUCUUGAGUGCAGAAGAGGAGAGUGGAACUCCAUGUGUAGCGGUGGAAUGCGUAGAUAUAUGGAAGAACACCAGUGGCGAAGGCGGCUCUCUGGUCUGCAACUGACGCUGAGGCUCGAAAGCAUGGGUAGCGAACAGGAUUAGAUACCCUGGUAGUCCAUGCCGUAAACGAUGAGUGCUAAGUGUUGGGAGGUUUCCGC
rnacentral:rRNA from 1 species